GCUGAAUACUGCCGAAAAACGGUCAGUUGGAUUCUCUAUAUAUGAAAUUUUCUGUAAUUAAUACUUGCUUGAUUUGUGUGUAUGUUAGGCUAUUUCCUUGUCAAGUGUUUAGCAGUAAUUUUAAAUAAGUCAGAUUUGUGUCCCAUAUUUGAAUUUCUUAAGGAACUUUGGUCUCUAGGAUUCCUUGUCUAUAGUGUUGUGCCUAUUUGCAGCUGAAUUGAUCAGCAUCUUAUGGAGAAUGACAGAAGAUAUGUUUUAACUCCAAAGCACCCUUUUUGUUACAUUUAAAAUAAGUGUGAUCCUUAUCCUUGG
rnacentral:misc_RNA from 1 species